CACUUUUUAUUUUUUAUUUUUCAAGAUAUUCUGAAGACAUUGAGGGAGCUCGUCCACGCCCAAAGGGAAACAAAUACCCGACUGGCGAACGUCGAAGAAUAUCAAUCCAUACUAAGCCAGGGGAUGGACACACUCGUAGGCAAUCAAGAGAGGAUCGCUAUUGCGUUUGAGGAAAUCGACAAAACCUCACAAACUAUGGCGCUAGCUGAGGGCAUAACGGAGGGCAGUGGCCCUAAAAAAAAUUGAGUAUCAGGUUUGUCGCAUGACCGGGGAAGUUGCAGACUCCAAAAUGGACGAAGUAGCUAGCAUGAUCCCCUUGUAUACUACCACAGCAGUGCUGGAAGUGGAACAAAGAUUACAGUCACCAGAAUUUGUUCAGACAAUGACGAUGUAUUUGCACAUGGUUAAGGGGGCGUCAGAGGAUGUCAGCAACGUAAUCCGCAACAUCUUUACAAAUGACCUUCUUCAAAAAUAUAACUGGGAGGGAACGUGGGAGAAACAGGCGCUGUGCCAACUAACCUUUGUGAAU